rnacentral:rRNA from 1 species
CCUACGGGUGGCAGCAGUGAGGAAUAUUGGUCAAUGGGCUUACGCCUGAACCAGCCAAGUCGCGUGAGGGAAGACUGCCCUAUGGGUUGUAAACUUCUUUUGUCAGGGAGCAAUUGAGUCCACGUGUGGGCUUAGCGAGAGUACCUGAAGAAAAAGCAUCGGCUAACUCCGUGCCAGCAGCCGCGGUAAUACGGAGGAUGCGAGCGUUAUCCGGAUUUAUUGGGUUUAAAGGGUGCGUAGGCGGAAUAUCAAGUCAGCGGUAAAAAUUCGGGGCUCAACCCCGUCGUGCCGUUGAAACUGAUGUUCUUGAGUGGGCGAGAAGUAUGCGGAAUGCGUGGUGUAGCGGUGAAAUGCAUAGAUAUCACGCAGAACUCCGAUUGCGAAGGCAGCAUACCGGCGCCCAACUGACGCUGAAGCACGAAAGCGUGGGUAUCGAACAGGAGUAGAUACCCGGGUAGUC